AGUGAACGCUGGCGGUAGGCCUAACACAUGCAAGUCGAACGGCAGCACAGGAGAGCUUGCUCUCUGGGUGGCGAGUGGCGGACGGGUGAGGAAUACAUCGGAAUCUACCUUUUCGUGGGGGAUAACGUAGGGAAACUUACGCUAAUACCGCAUAAGACCUUCGGGUGAAAGCAGGGGACCUUCGGGCCUUGCGCGGAUAGAUGAGCCGAUGUCGGAUUAGCUUGUUGGCGGGGUAAAAGCCCACCAAGGCGACGAUCCGUAGCUGGUCUGAGAGGAUGAUCAGCCACACUGGAACUGAGACACGGUCCAGACUCCUACGGGAGGCAGCAGUGGGGAAUAUUGGACAAUGGGCGCAAGCCUGAUCCAGCCAUACCGCGUGGGUGAAGAAGGCCUUCGGGUUGUAAAGCCCUUUUGUUGGGAAAGAAACUUAGCGGGCUAAUACCCAGCAAGUACUGACGGUACCCCAAAGGAAUAAAGGCACCGGCUAACCUUCGUAGCCAGCAGCCGCGGUAAAGGAGUAGUAC
rnacentral:rRNA from 1 species